CCUACGGGCGGCUGCAGUGGGGAAUAUUGCACAAUGGGCGCAAGCCUGAUGCAGCCAUGCCGCGUGUGUGAAGAAGGCCUUCGGGUUGUAAAGCACUUUCAGCGGGGAGGAAGGCGUUAAGGUUAAUAACCUUGGCGAUUGACGUUACCCGCAGAAGAAGCACCGGCUAACUCCGUGCCAGCAGCCGCGGUAAUACGGAGGGUGCAAGCGUUAAUCGGAAUUACUGGGCGUAAAGCGCACGCAGGCGGUCUGUCAAGUCGGAUGUGAAAUCCCCGGGCUCAACCUGGGAACUGCAUUCGAAACUGGCAGGCUAGAGUCUUGUAGAGGGGGGUAGAAUUCCAGGUGUAGCGGUGAAAUGCGUAGAGAUCUGGAGGAAUACCGGUGACGAAGGCGGCCCCCUGGACAAAGACUGACGCUCAGGUGCGAAAGCGUGGGGAGCAAACAGGAUUAGAUACCCUUGUAGUC
rnacentral:rRNA from 1 species